rnacentral:rRNA from 1 species
AGAGUUUGAUCCUGGCUCAGAACGUACGCUGGCGGCACGCCUAACACAUGCAAGUCGAACGAAGUAGCAAUACUUAGUGGCAGACGGGUGAGUAACAUGUAGGUAUCUGCCCUUUGGCCUGGAAUAACACGAGGAAACUUGUGCUAAUACCGGAUAAGUCUUUACGGAGAAAGCUUUAUGCACCAUUGGAUGAGCCUGCACUUGAUUAGUUUGUUGGUGGGGUAAUGGCCUACCAAGACUGUGAUCAAUAGCUGAUUUGAGAGGAUGAUCAGCCACAUUGGGACUGAGACACGGCCCAAACUCCUACGGGAGGCAGCAGUGGGGAAUCUUGCACAAUGGAGGAAACUCUGAUGCAGCGAUGCCGCGUGAGUGAAGAAGGCCUUUGGGUUGUAAAGCUCUUUCGUCGGGGAAGAAAAUGACUGUACCCGAAUAAGAAGGUCCGGCUAACUUCGUGCCAGCAGCCGCGGUAAUACGAAGGGACCUAGCGUAGUUCGGAAUUACUGGGCUUAAAGAGUUCGUAGGUGGUUGAAAAAGUUGGUGGUGAAAUCCCAGAGCUUAACUCUGGAACUGCCAUCAAAACUUUUCAGCUAGAGUAUGAUAGAGGAAAGCAGAAUUUCUAGUGUAGAGGUGAAAUUCGUAGAUAUUAGAAAGAAUACCAAUUGCGAAGGCAGCUUUCUGGAUCAUUACUGACACUGAGGAACGAAAGCAUGGGUAGCGAAGAGGAUUAGAUACCCUCGUAGUCCAUGCCGUAAACGAUGUGUGUUAGACGUUGGAAAUUUAUUUUCAGUGUCGCAGCGAAAGCGAUAAACACACCGCCUGGGGAGUACGACCGCAAGGUUAAAACUCAAAUGAAUUGACGGGGACCCGCACAAGUAGUGGAGCAUGUGGUUUAAUUCGAAGAUACGCGCAGAACCUUACCAACACUUGACAUGUUCGUCGCGACUCUAAGAGAUUAGAGUUUUCGGUUCGGCCGGACGAAACACAGGUGCUGCAUGGCUGUCGUCAGCUCGUGUCGUGAGAUGUUGGGUUAAGUCCCGCAACGAGCGCAACCCUCACUUUUAGUUGCCAUCAUUAAGUUGGGCACUCUGAAAGAACUGCCAGUGAUAAGCUGGAGGAAGGUGGGGAUGACGUCAAGUCCUCAUGGCCCUUACGUGUUGGGCUACACACGUGCUACAAUGGCAUCUACAACAGGAAGCAAAACGGCAACGUUAAGCAAAUCCCGAAAAGAUGCCUCAGUUCGGAUUGCACUCUGCAACUCGAGUGCAUGAAGCUGGAAUUACUAGUAAUCGUGGAUCAGCGUGCCACGGUGAAUGCGUUCCCGGGUCUUGUACACACCGCCCGUCACACCAUGGGAGUUGGUUCUACCUUAAGGCAAGGUUUCAAACCCUUGACCACGGUAUAGUCAGCGACUGGGGUGAAGUCAUAACAAGGUAGCCGUA